CCUACGGGAGGCAGCAGUGAGGAAUAUUGGUCAAUGGGCUUACGCCUGAACCAGCCAAGUCGCGUGAGGGAAGACUGCCCUAUGGGUUGUAAACCUCUUUUGUCAGGGAGCAAUUGGCGCUACGUGUAGCGUUAUCGAGAGUCCCUGAAGAAAAAGCAUCGGCAAACUCGGUGCCAGCAGCCGCGGUAAUACGGAGGAUGCGAGCGUUAUCCGGAUUUAUUGGGUUAACAGGGUGCGUAGGCGGAAUGCCAAGUCAGCGGUAAAAUCGCGGGGCUCAACCUCGCUCCGCCGUUGAUACUGGCAUUCUUGAGUGGGCGAGAGGUAUGCGGAAUGCGUGGUGUAGCGGUGAAAUGCAUAGAUAUCACGAAGAACUCCGAUUGCGAAGGCAGCAUACCGGCGCCCAACUGACGCUGAAGCACGAAAGCGUGGGUAGCGAACAGGAUUAGAUACCCUGGUAGUC
rnacentral:rRNA from 1 species